GUGUCAGCCGCCGCGGUAAUACGUAGGGUGCGAGCGUUAAUCGGAAUUACUGGGCGUAAAGCGUGCGCAGGCGGCUCACUAAGACAGAUGUGAAAUCCCCGGGCUUAACCUGGGAACUGCGUUUGUGACUGGUGGGCUUGAGUGCGGCAGAGGGGGGUGGAAUUCCACGUGUAGCAGUGAAAUGCGUAGAGAUGUGGAGGAACACCGAUGGCGAAGGCAGCCCCCUGGGUCGACACUGACGCUCAUGCACGAAAGCGUGGGGAGCAAACAGGAUUAGAAACCCUAGUAGUCC
rnacentral:rRNA from 1 species